GUAGAUGUUAUACCAAAUGUCACUCGUUUGACUUCUAUAUGAUGGCUUUAAUUUCAUUCAUGUCAAUCGUUUUUGAUCCUGUCAGUUGUACUUUUUCAUUUGCAAGUACAGCUUGUGUAUAUGUAUUUAUUGUACCUCUGUUGCCAUAUUCCUUUAUCAUUCAAAAGCAUUGUGCAUUAACAUUUUGAGGUGUCCACAAAUGUGUAAAACAAUGAUUGACAUGUCUCUAUGUUUGUUUUUUCAGCAGUAAGAAGAUUGUGCUCAUGACACACAGCAGAUGGGACCUCUAGAGAAGAAAACAAUUGGUCCAUGAGAAGCUGUACGUAGGAGGAGGCACACAGAUCUUGUCCCAAGCAGCAACAGAUUGAUGGCAGAUUAAGAGAAGAAGAGCUUGGUCCAUGACAAACUGUAUGUGGAAGAAGCAGACAGACUUGAUCCCAACCAGCCAGAAAAGGACACGCAGAUAUAGAUUGCAACCGAUUCUGAAAAGAUGUAUAAAAAAUUAUAUUUUGACGGAAUUGUAAAUUUUCUGCGAUUCUGCAGAUUAACUUAUAACAAUGUAAAAACUUUACCUCAAAUUACAUGUAUUUACAUUAAGACAAUCAGGUUGUGAGAGCAGACAAGUGUAAAAUUGCCAUUUUGUAAAAGUAAAACUGUAAAGACUGAAAGUUUUUUUCAUUC